UCUUCUCGGAGUAUAUAAGCGGGAGGGUGCACCUGGAAGCUGAGAGCGCGCAACUGCUUUUUUUCAGCAGCAAAAGCCGCUCGUGAGUCUCCACCACUAGUAUGCUGCUGCUUAUGGCUUAAUCAGAAGUCAAAAGCUGAAAGCUUUAAGCUUUUUAAGCUAGGACUGAAACAGGAAUUCAAAUUGUGGUGGAUAUUUAGUAGAGCUUUUGAGAUUGGAGAAAUGGCGACGGUGACGGCAUGGCAGUUACCGUACAGAAUCUUGGCGGCGGAGGAAGAAGAAGAUAGCUCGUCGGACCCGACGAACGCGGUGGCGUUCGUGGGGUUGUGUUUGGUGUUAGGAAUCGCCAGCAGGCAUCUGUUGCGUGGUACCAGAGUUCCCUACACUGUCGCUCUGCUCAUCCUUGGCAUUGGCCUCGGCUCCAUAGAAUAUGGCACACAUCAUCGACUGGGGAGGAUUGGAGAUGGAAUUCGAAUUUGGGCAAAUAUUGAUCCUGACACUUCUAUUGGCUGUUUUUCUGCCUGCCCUUCUUUUCGAGAGUUCGUUUUCUAUGGAGGUGCACCAAAUAAAGAGGUGUAUGGUACAAAUGAUGAUACUAGCUGGUCCCGGUGUUCUAAUAUCAACCUUUGUCCUUGGAUCUGCUUUGAAGCUCACUUUCCCUUACGACUGGAGUUGGAAAACAUCACUGCUCCUUGGGGGGCUUCUUAGCGCCACCGAUCCUGUGGCUGUUAUUGCUCUGUUAAAAGAGCUUGGUGCUAGCAAAAAAUUGAGUACGAUAAUUGAAGGAGAAUCCAUGAUGAAUGAUGGGAUAGCAAUUGUCGUGUAUCAGUUAUUUUAUCAAAUGGUCCUUGGAAGGAGCUAUGACUGGGCCGCCAUAAUUAAAUUUCUCACUCAAGUCACAUUUGGAUCUGUAGGCAUUGGUCUUGCAUUUGGCAUAGUAUCUGUACUUUGGCUCAUGUUCAUUUUCAAUGACACCGUGAUAGAGAUCACACUAACACUUGCUGUCAGCUACGUUGCUUACUUCAUUGCUCAAGAGAGUGUUGGCGUUUCUGGUGUCUUGACGGUGACGACUUUAGGAAUGUUUUAUGCUGCGGUUGCAAGGACAGCUUUUAAGAGUGAAAGCCAACAAAGUUUACACCAUUUCUGGGAAAUGGUUGCUUAUAUUGCUAAUACCUUAGUUUUCAUAUUGAGUGGAGUUAUUAUAGCUGAAGGUGUUCUUAGCAGUGAAAAUAUUUUCGAUCAUGGAAAAUCUUGGUUGUACCUCAUUCUUCUCUAUGUUUAUGUACAAAUUGCCCGGUUCAUAGUGGUUGCAGUUUCAUUUCCCCUUCUCCGGUAUUUUGGCUAUGGUUUGGACUGGAAAGAGGCUAUAAUCCUUAUAUGGUCAGGUCUGCGAGGGGCUGUAGCAUUGUCACUUUCACUGUCAGUGAAGCAAACUAGUGACAGCUCUUCACUUAUCAGUUCUGGCACAGGAGUCCUGUUUGUUUUCUUCACUGGUGGAAUUGUCUUCUUGACACUAGUUGUGAAUGGUUCCACCACACAUUUCAUUUUACGCCUUCUAGAUCUGGACAAGCUAUCAGCAGCUAAGAGGCGCAUGCUGGAGUACACAAAAUAUGAAAUGUUGAACAAAGCAUUAGAGGCUUUUGGUGAUCUUGGAGAUGACGAGGAGUUGGGACCUGCUGACUGGCCCUCUGUGAAAAGAUAUAUUGCAAAUGAUGUUGAUACCGAAAACUUGUACACCCUCACGAUGCAACAGAAAGUGAUAAUAGUAAUAAUCCGCACGUUACAAAUUUGAAGGAUAUACGUGAACGUCUUUUGAAUGGAGUCCAAGCUGCUUACUGGAACAUGCUUGAUGAGGGAAGGAUUACACAAUCUUCUGCAAAUAUUUUGAUGCAAUCAGUAGACGAAUCAAUUGACUCGGUUUCACGUGAGCCUUUAUGCGACUGGAAAGGUUUAAAAGCUCAUGUUCAUUUCCCGAAUUACUACAAGUUCCUUCAAACUAGCAUUUUCCCCCAGGAAAUUGGUAACCUAUUUGACUGUGGAAAGGCUGGAAUCUGCAUGUUACAUUUGUGCUUCCUUUCUCCGUGCCCAUAGAAUUGCAAGGCAGCAACUUCAUGAUUUCAUAGGUGAUAGUGAAGUUGCUUCAAUUGUCAUUAAUGAAAGUGAGGCAGAAGGAGAAGAAGCAAAAAAGUUUCUGGAAGAUGUUCGUGUCACAUUUCCUCAGGUUUUGCGUGUUGUGAAAACAAGACAAGUAACAUUCUCAGCUCUAAACCAGUUAACUGAAUAUCUCCAAAACCUAGAGAAGGUUGGCAUGUUGGAAGAAAAAGAGAUGCUUCAUCUUCAUGACGCAGUCCAGACUGAUAUUGAAAAAGCUUCUAAGGAAUCCUCCAUCAAUAAAGAUCCAAAAAUAAAUGAUCUUGAUUAGUCUCCAAUCCUCUAUUGGGGGCUCCUUCCGCCUUCAGUUCGUGAACCAGUUGAAGCUUCUACCAAGGAAACCAAUGAAAUUGUGUGGUGUGGUGCUUUACAGGGAGGGAUCCAAGCCUACUGGUAUUUGGCUUCUUUCACUGGUGGUAGUAAAGUGGACAAGUAAGAGCAUAAAAAACAAGCACUCGCUGCAUCCAACUUUUACUCACGGGAGUACUUUGGGCCUGUAUGAAGUGCUAACCGGAAAGCCCUACAUUUGUGACAUGAUCACCGAUUCUGUGGUUCUCUGCUUUUGCAUUGAAACUCAUAAUAUAAAUUCAAUGCUCCGGUCCGAUCCCUCAGUCGAAGACUUCCUCUGGCAGGAAAGUUCUAUUGCUCUUUUGAAACUUUUCCUUCCACAAAUAUUUGAGAAAAUGGCAAUGCAAGAUUUGAGAGCUCUUGUUGCGGAAAGGUCAGUGAUGACGAUUUACCUAAGGGACGAAUCUUUUGAAAUUCCGUACCGUUCCAUUGGAUUUCUGUUAGAGGGUUUCGUUAAAAUCCAAGGUGUCCAAGAAGAACUGAUCACAUCACCUGCACCUCUAUUCCCCUCACAUGGUUAUCCAGAGCUUCCAGAAUCUGGAAACAUCAGGCACCAGGGUAGCCAGUUUUUCUCAUAAAGGAUCCAAUUAUCUUGUUGAAACAAGAUCGAGAGUGAUUAUAUUUGACAUCGCAGCAUUUGAAUCUGACAGUGCUCUGAUUAGGCGCUCAUCCCUCGUUUAUAUCAAGUGCAGUUGAUCAUCAUCCUCAUAGGUCUCUUACUAGAGAGCAUAGUGGUCUUAUGAGUUGGCCUGAGCAAGUUUUCCAAAGCAAAGCAGCAAAAGCAGAACCCCGAAGGGAUUGACCAACAAAACAACAACUUGUCUGCGAGGGCUAUGCAGUUCAGCAUUUACGGCAGUAUGGUGAAUGUGAAUCAGAGGAGGCGUGCUCGAAGUUUUUCCGAGAAGUGGUCCGGUUAAUCCAUCACACAGCCGUGUCAUAUCCAAGCAUGCCAUCAUAUCAAGGCCGUUCACACAAUGUGUCAUAUCCUACUGUUCCAUCAUAUCACGGCCGUCCACUGGUUUCAGUCAGAUCAGAAGGGGCAACAACUGUGAGAAAGAACCUUGAAGUGAGAAAAUUCAGAGGCCCAACAAAUCCUCCAGGGCAGCAAAGUACAAACCCAAAUAAGAGCCACGAGGUAGACAAUUCGAGUGAUGGAUCGGGUGGUGACGAUGAUUUAAUUGUGAGAGUCGAUUGACCAAGUCGGGUAUUGUAGUAGAUUGAGAAGAUAUAGUUUGUAAUUAUUUUAGUUAAGAAAAGGUAUUGCUGUAUUUUCACGUCAAGUCUCUAUUCCGCCUAUGCCUCAAAUAAAUAAAUAUGCUAAUAGCAACUGCGUUUUAUUUCCAAGUAUCUCUCAACUUGUAUAAUUACAUAUAGCGUACUUGCUCGUAUUUUGGACACACUGCCCAUGCCUUAAGUAAAUAAAUAUGCUAAUAACAACUGCAUUUUUUUCUU